rnacentral:tRNA from 4 species
CAGAUAGAUGGCCUAAUGGCUGGGCGCCCUUUUUGGGAAAGGGAAUUCGGAGUUCGAAUCUCCACUAUUUGA